GAUGAACGCUGGCGGCGUGCCUAAUACAUGCAAGUCGAGCGAACGGACGAGAAGCUUGCUUCUCUGAUGUUAGCGGCGGACGGGUGAGUAACACGUGGAUAACCUACUUAUAAGACUGGGUUAACUUCUGGAAACCGGAGCUAAUACCGGAUAAUAUUUUGAACCGCAUGGUUUAAAAGUGAAAGACGGUCUUGCUGUCACUUAUAGAUGUAUCCGCGCUGCAUUAGCUAGUUGGUAAGGUAACGGCUUACCAAGGCAACGAUGCAUAGCCGACCUGAGAGGGUGAUCGGCCAGACUGGAACUGAGACAGGGUCCAGACUCCUACGGGAGGCAGCAGUAGGGAAUCUUCCGCGAUGGGCGAAAGCCUGACGGAGCAACGCCGCGUGAGUGAUGAAGGUCUUCGGAUCGUAAAACUCUGUUAGUAGGGAAGAACAUAUGUGUAAGUAACUGUGCACAUCUUGACGGUACCUAAGCAGAAAGCCACGGCUAACUACGUG
rnacentral:rRNA from 1 species